rnacentral:rRNA from 1 species
GACGAACGCUGGCGGCGUGCCUAAUACAUGCAAGUAGAACGCACAGUUUAUACCGUAGCUUGCUACACCAUAGACUGUGAGUUGCGAACGGGUGAGUAACGCGUAGGUAACCUGCCUGGUAGCGGGGGAUAACUAUUGGAAACGAUAGCUAAUACCGCAUAAUAUUAAUUAUUGCAUGAUAAUUAAUUGAAAGGUGCAAUUGCACCACUACCAGAUGGACCUGCGUUGUAUUAGCUAGUAGGUGAGGUAACGGCUCACCUAGGCGACGAUACAUAGCCGACCUGAGAGGGUGAGCGGACACACUGGGACUGAGACACGGCCCAGACUCCUACGGGAAGCAGCAGUAGGGAAUCUUCGGCAAUGGACGAAAGUCUGACCGAGCAACGCCGCGUGAGUGAAGAAGGUUUUCGGAUCGUAAAGCUCUGUUGUAAGGGAAGAACGGGUGUGAGAGUGGAAAGUUCACACUGUGACGGUAUCUUACCAGAAAGGGACGGCUAACUACGUG